AGAGUUUGAUCAUGGCUCAGAUUGAACGCUGGCGGCAUGCCUUACACAUGCAAGUCGAACGGCAGCACGGGGGCAGCCCUGGUGGCGAGUGGCGAACGGGUGAGUAAUACAUCGGAACGUGUCCUGGAGUGGGGGAUAGCCCGGCGAAAGCCGGAUUAAUACCGCAUACGAUCUCUGGAUGAAAGCGGGGGACCGAAAGGCCUCGCGCUCAAGGGGCGGCCGAUGGCAGAUUAGCUAGUUGGUGGGGUAAAGGCCUACCAAGGCGACGAUCUGUAGCUGGUCUGAGAGGACGACCAGCCACACUGGGACUGAGACACGGCCCAGACUCCUACGGGAGGCAGCAGUGGGGAAUUUUGGACAAUGGGGGCAACCCUGAUCCAGCAAUGCCGCGUGUGUGAAGAAGGCCUUCGGGUUGUAAAGCACUUUUGUCCGGAAAGAAAACCGCUUCUCUAAUACAGAGGUGGGAUGACGGUACCGGAAGAAUAAGCACCGGCUAACUACGUGCCAGCAGCCGCGGUAAUACGUAGGGUGCGAGCGUUAAUCGGAAUUACUGGGCGUAAAGCGUGCGCAGGCGGUUCGCUAAGACCGAUGUGAAAUCCCCGGGCUUAACCUGGGAACUGCAUUGGUGACUGGCGGGCUAGAGUAUGGCAGAGGGGGGUAGAAUUCCACGUAGCAGUGAAAUGCGUAGAGAUGUGGAGGAAUACCGAUGGCGAAGGCAGCCCCCUGGGCCAAUACUGACGCUCAUGCACGAAAGCGUGGGGAGCAAACAGGAUUAGAUACCCUCGUAGUCC
rnacentral:rRNA from 1 species